UACGUAGGGGGCAAGCGUUGUCCGGAUUUACUGGGCGUAAAGAGCGUGUAGGCGGCCACGCAGGUCCGUUGUGAAAACUGGAGGCUCAACCUUCAGACGUCGACGGAAACCGUGUGGCUAGAGUCCGGAAGAGGAGAGUGGAAUUCCUGGUGUAGCGGUGAAAUGCGCAGAUAUCAGGAAGAACACCAAUGGCGAAGGCAACUCUCUGGGACGGUACUGACGCUGAGACGCGAAAGCGUGGGGAGCGAACAGG
rnacentral:rRNA from 1 species